rnacentral:rRNA from 1 species
UACGUAGGGUGCAAGCGUUGUCCGGAAUUACUGGGCGUAAAGAGUUCGUAGGCGGUUCGUCGCGUCGUUUGUGAAAACCAGCAGCUCAACUGCUGGCUUGCAGGCGAUACGGGCAGACUUGAGUACUGCAGGGGAGACUGGAAUUCCUGGUGUAGCGGUGAAAUGCGCAGAUAUCAGGAGGAACACCGGUGGCGAAGGCGGGUCUCUGGGCAGUAACUAACGCUGAGGAACGAAAGCGUGGGUAGCGAACAGG